UUAUUUGAUGUUCUGUUUUAGAAAGAGGAACAGUAUCUGAAAACACUGACCAUUUUGUUGUGUACAUCUACCCCUCUGUAAACUUCUGGCACUUCUGACUCUAUGGUUUGGAGGUAGAUUUACCGGCAGUAGAGCAGAUGUAAUCACUGUGAAGACAGACUGAGGGCAGAAGAAAUUAAACCAAUUGGGUGAAUUAGCUCAGCAAGUGACAGCUCACAGGAGAAUCUUUAUCUACUCCUUCCACUGACUGUAUGCACAUAAUUGCAGGUCUUGCUACUCUUGCUAGUAGCAGGAAGCUAGUGCUGCAAAGAAGCUAUGCUGGAGCUUGGGUGAUAUCCCAUUUCACAGAGCUUCUUUAAGACUUCUGAGAAAGCUUCAUAAAAUGCAAAAACAGUAAUAAGGGCAAACUUCUUGACUGUCAUUCAUUGUGAGAGGUGUCCCUCAUUUUGGAGCUAAUUUUACCUCUGGACCACAUCGACUUGAAGAUGGCUUACUGUGGCUACUGUGAAUUAUUUAUGGGUGGAAAAAAUGUAUUAUGGAGCAGAGAAAAUAUAACUAUUGUUGUUGGGCAAAAAAAUUAUUAGAAAUAUUUUCUCUUCUAAUUAGGUUGUUUUGUCUUUAAGCAUCAGUUGCUUAAAAAACUGAAAGCAUUAUAAAUGGUGGUGGAUCUGAAG
rnacentral:lncRNA from 1 species